GACAGAGGGUGCAAACGUUGUUCGGAAUUACUGGGCGUAAAGCGCAUGUAGGCGGCCAAGCAGGUCGGAUGUGAAAUCCCUCGGCUCAACCAAGGAAGUGCAUUCGAAACCGCAUGGCUCGAGUCCCGGAGAGGAAGGUGGAAUUCUCGGUGUAGAGGUGAAAUUCGUAGAUAUCGAGAGGAACACCGGUGGCGAAAGCGGCCUUCUGGACGAGGACUGACGCUGAGACACGAAAGCGUGGGGAGCAAACAGG
rnacentral:rRNA from 1 species